GCCCAAGUGGUCUAAUGGUUAUGAUUCGUGCUUCGGGUGUGCGAGAUUGGGCGUUCGAUUCGCCCCUUGGGCC
rnacentral:tRNA from 1 species